rnacentral:rRNA from 1 species
AGUGGGGAAUAUUGGACAAUGGGCGCAAGCCUGAUCCAGCCAUGCCGCGUGGAUGAUGAAGGCCCUAGGGUUGUAAAGUCCUUUCGGCGGGGAAGAUAAUGACGGUACCCGCAGAAGAAGCCCCGGCUAACUUCGUGCCAGCAGCCGCGGUAAUACGAAGGGGGCUAGCGUUGCUCGGAAUCACUGGGCGUAAAGCGCACGUAGGCGGCUUCUUAAGUCAGGGGUGAAAUCCUGGAGCUCAACUCCAGAACUGCCUUUGAUACUGGGAAGCUUGAGUCCGGGAGAGGUGAGUGGAACUGCGAGUGUAGAGGUGAAAUUCGUAGAUAUUCGCAAGAACACCAGUGGCGAAGGCGGCUCACUGGCCCGGUACUGACGCUGAGGUGCGAAAGCGUGGGGAGCAAA